rnacentral:tRNA from 1 species
GAGGGUGUAAUUCAGUGGUACAAUGCAUGACUAGCAUGCAUGUGGCCCUGGGUUCAAUUUCCAGCACUUCA